rnacentral:tRNA from 1 species
UAAGGGAGACCUAACUGAACGAAUAAAAAGAAGGCAAAGAUUGACCUAGUGUUAAUCAAAAUCAAUAAAGUCUUCAUCGAUUCAGAGAAUCCCAAGGUCGGUCGCUGAGUCAACCUCAAAGCUUUCAAACUAGAUAGGUUCGUUUUUAAAUAAAGGGCUAUUAGCUCAGGUGGUUAGAGCGCACCCCUGAUAAGGGUGAGGUCCCUGGUUCGAGUCCAGGAUGGCCCACCUCUAAAAAAAGAAAAUUAGGUACGUUAAGUUCCUCUGAAAGAACAAAAAUUCAGCACCGACUCUCAUCAAAAGAGAGAGACUGCUGGACGGAAGUUCAGGGCUAGAACCUUGAAAACUGCAUAGCUAGAACAGAGUAAAGAUUUGAGGUAGGGAGAACGCCAAUACCCAUUAAAUUGGAAAUUGGUGUUAAGUACCGAACAGAACAAUCUAAAA